GAACUGUAGAGUUUGAUCCUGGCUCAGAUUGAACGCUGGCGGAAUGCUUUACACAUGCAAGUCGAGCGGCAGCGCGGGGCAACCUGGCGGCGAGCGGCGAACGGGUGAGUAAUACAUCGGAACGUGCCCAGACGUGGGGGAUAACUACUCGAAAGAGUGGCUAAUACCGCAUACGAUCUACGGAUGAAAGCGGGGGAUCGCAAGACCUCGCGCGUCUGGAGCGGCUGAUGGCAGAUUAGGUAGUUGGUGGGAUAAAAGCCUACCAAGCCAACGAUCUGUAGCUGGUCUGAGAGGAUGAUCAGCCACACUGGGACUGAGACACGGCCCAGACUCCUACGGGAGGCAGCAGUGGGGAAUUUUGGACAAUGGGCGAAAGCCUGAUCCAGCCAUUCCGCGUGCAGGAUGAAGGCCCUCGGGUUGUAAACUGCUUUUGUACAGAACGAAAAAGCUCUGGCUAAUACCUGGAGUCCAUGACGGUACUGUAAGAAUAAGCACCGGCUAACUACGUGCCAGCAGCCGCGGUAAUACGUAGGGUGCAAGCGUUAAUCGGAAUUACUGGGCGUAAAGCGUGCGC
rnacentral:ncRNA from 1 species